AGAUCUCGUGAGAAUUCAGUCACUAUCACAAGAACAGGAAGAGGGAAACCACCCCCAUGAUCUAAUCACCUACCACCAGGCCCCUCCUCCAACACUGGGGAUUACAACUGGACAUGAGAUUUGGGCGGGAACACAAAUCCAAAUCGUAUCACCCCCCCAAUUAGAGACUUGGGAUUUGAAUCAACAAAAAAUCCUGCAGUUCACUUUUUAUGUGGAUAGUACAUUGGAGGCAGAUAAUUUUCCCACUUCUGCCUCCUUGUCAGUUCUUUAUUCCUUUGAAUCAGAAUAUAACAGCGUCCAGUAAUGCAGCUAGCCCAUGUGUGAAAUGAAGCAAGAGUGGCAUAGUACACUCUGAGCUGUUCAGUGAAAAACAGGCAUGGACAGCCACAGGAAGGGUGGGGCUUCAGGCCACAUUAAGUAAAAAGCAGACUUAUGCGGUACCUGCUGAGUUUCAUAAAACUGAAUAUUGUCUUUGGAAACAAGCUUCCUCUCUGUAGCUUCAGUGGAAAUGGUCAUAAAUCAUAUAUAAUUAGGAAGAAAAGUAAUCAAACAUCAUUUGGUGUUGUAGCAAUGUAAUAGAAAAAAUGAAAAUUAAAAAUAACAAUGAAUUAGAGAUUUAUCCUACCUCCUAGAGUCUGAUACUAACAUCACCACUGCUGAUAAAAUCCAGAUCUUCACUGGAACACUGGAAGAGCGUGUCUUUGAGGGCUUAAACUUGGUUCAAAAAAGGUCUUGAAACUAAGACCCACCAAAUUGGGAAGGACCAGAAGGGCAAGGUAAAGUUACUGCCUAUUUUUGUGUAGUAAUGUUUGUUUUGCUUUGUUUUCAAGUGUUUCCUGGGGAAAGGAAAUAAAGAAGCUUGGACAGUUAAGAGAAAAGCAGUUUGCAUUAGUCAAUAAUGGAGGAUAUAAAAAUUGCAGAAUUGGCCUGGUGCAGUGGCUCAUACUUGUAAUCCUAGUACUUUGGGAGAUUGAGGCAGAUGGAUCGUCUGAGGUCAAGAGUACGAGACCAGUCUGGCCAACAUGGUGAAACCCUGUCUCUACUAAAAAUACAAAAAUUAGCUGGGCCUGCUGGCUAACCCAAGUUACAGGAGACUGAGGGAGGAGAAUCGGUUGAACCCAGGAAGUGGAGGUUGCAGUGAGCCGAGAUCAUGCCACUGCACUCCAGCCUGGGCAACAGAGAGAGACUCUGUCUCAAAACAAAAACAAAAACAAAAACAAAAACAAAAACUGCAGAAUUUAGAAAUGGUAUUAAGGAAAUACAUUGUAUGUGGAUUUCCAAAGAAUGGUGUCAGAAGUGUGACAGUGUGGAAGGACAGCUUUGUGGAGGAGGUACAUUCUUAUGUUAUUUUCCUUUCACCUUUUCAUAAAUGAGGCAACAAGAGCUUCUUUAAGUGUAAUCCCCAGACCAGCAGCAUUGGCAUUCUGUGAGAACCUGAUAGAAAUGCAAAUUUCUAGGUCUUCACUCACACCUGUUCAGAGGCCUAGCAAUGUGUAUUACGAGAAGCUAUUCAGGUUACUCUGAUGUACCCUAAAGUUCCAGAACUCCUGAUGCAGAGGGUACAUGAAGAGAUACAUAGUUAGAUAUAUCUUCUAAGUCAGAUACAUCCUCCAAAACCUGGGUGCACUUACUAUGUGACCUUGAAGAGGUACUUAACUUCAAAAGAUAUUGGCAUUCUCCCCUAUAAAUGGAAACAGUAAUAAAUACAUUGUAGGAUGGUUGUCAGAGUUAAAUGAGAUAUUGAAUAGGUAAUAAAAUAUUAGAUGGAACCUUUCCUGUUACCUUGCUAAAUGACCAACAAGUACAUCCACAUUCUAAUGAGAAUCAUUAGAUAUGUCCAAGCAGAAAUUCCCAAAAUGCAACAGAAAUGAUCCAGCAUCCAUCGAGCUUCUAUAGUCUACAAGAGGAGAUCUGAAAUUGCAAGGAUAAUGUUUAAUGGAAUUUUCAGGAGUGGAUUAAGUUGCAGAGAGUGUUAAGAUUUUUUUUUUCCUACUUUCUUUUUAGGAGAUAAAAGUAUGUUUUUCCCUCCCAAUAGGCCAAGAGGGAAUACUCCAAGAAAACUCUUCUGGAGACAAAAAGUCCAUAAAGGAAAGUAAGAUAUGUAAUCACCUGCUAGUUUUAUUGUAGGUCCAUUUGGACACAGCCAUUUAGGUAGAGCAAGGCAAAAUAAUUCUUGUGAGGACCUGUCAUCUGUCCCCAGGAUGAGGGAACAUAGGUUAAUAUUGACUCUGAUGUGUUCCUUUCCACGUCGAGAAUUUUAAAGUCUGCAAAUCUGUAGCCCAAAAUUGAUUCCAGGAAGAGGAGGGAGCAGUUGGGCCUUGAAGAAUGCACAAACGUGCCACACAAGAGAGUCAGUAUGUGGAGGCUGCCAGAGAGGACAUAGCAGCCAGUCAUUCUCAGCUGAGUGAGGACCAUGGGGAGCACCAGCUCAGGGUUAAAAGGUUGCUGUGGUUCAAAUGACGGUGUCCUCUCUAAAAUACAUGUUGAAUAAUCCCUAAUGUACUGAGAGCUGCGGCCUUUGGGAGGUGAUUAAGUCAUGAGGACUCUGCCUUCAUGAAUGGGAUUAGCACCCUAAUAAAAGGGGACAAGUUUGAAGAGAGCACUCUCUUGCUCUUUCAUGCCUUCCACUUGUGAGGACACAGCAUUCUUUCCCUUUGGAGGAUUCAGCAACAAGGCACCAUCUUCGAGACAGAGCAACCCUUACCCAACACAGAACCUGCUGGCACCUUGAUCUUGGACUUCCCAGCUUCCAAAACUAUGAGACUAUUAAUAUAUUUCUAUUGCUUGUAGCUUACCCAACCUGUAGAAUUUUGUUGUAGCAGCACAAAGGGUCAAAACCAUAUGUAAGAAAUUUUAACACCUAUCUGUUCUGAAGAACUAAACCAGAAUAAUAAAUACUUUUCAGAAGGAUUUUGACUCAUAAAAGAGUAUUACAGCAAUUUUUUUCUUCUCAUGUCAGAGAGAAAAAAUUAUUAAUAAGAUUAAAUUCAAUAAGAGUUUAGAAGACUUGAAAAUUAAUGGGAGUUAAUGUUUUAUCUUAGUAUUUUAUUUCUUUGCAUUUGUUCAUAGUUUAAAUUCUUUUGAAAUUAUUUUAAUAAAAAGAUGUAAUGAAUUUUUAAAUAUCUGUAGAAUUGUGUGAUACAGUCUGAAACGUUUAGUGUUAUCUGAAAAAAAAUUCUCAUUCCUGGGUUGACAAAUCUCAGCUGUCACAAUGCACCUGAAGGCAGUCAACCCUUAUGUCAACUGAAGUUACCUGGAAAUGUGGAACAGAGAAUAGAGGAGCUUGGCUCAAGACUAAGGGUAGAAGAUGUUCAAGUUGACUUGAUCACUCUUACCUAGAGUCAACUUUAAUCCAAAGUUCUAUUAAUUCAUUCCUGAAUGAAUUCAAGACUUCCUGUGGGAAUAUUCCCACUGAUUUUUUUCUCACUCUUCACCCAAUCUCAAGAUAAGAUGACUUCUAAAAACUACAUGAGUGUGGCCGGGCGCGGUGGCUCUUGCCUGUAAUCCCAGCACUUUGAGAGGCCAAGGCGGAAAAAUCACGAGGUCAGGAGUUUGAGACCAGCCUGGCCAACAUAGUGAAACCCCGUCUCUACUAAAAAUACAAAAAAUUAGCU
rnacentral:lncRNA from 1 species